UACGUAGGGGGCAAGCGUUGUUCGGAAUUACUGGGCGUAAAGCGCGCGUAGGCGGUUUGAAAAGUCAGAUGUGAAAGCCCCGGGCUCAACUUGGGAACUGCAUUUGAUACUGCCAGACUAGAGUACAGAAGAGGUGACUGGAAUUCCCAGUGUAGCGGUGAAAUGCGUAGAUAUUGGGAGGAACACCAGAUGCGAAGGCGGGUCACUGGGCUGAUACUGACGCUGAAGUGCGAAAGCCAGGGGAGCGAACGGG
rnacentral:rRNA from 1 species